GCCGGUUUGGCUCAGUGGAUACAGUGUCAGCCUGCAGAGUGAAGAGUCCCAGGUUCGAUUCCUGGACAGGGCA
rfam:Myotis davidii contig218671, whole genome shotgun sequence.